rnacentral:rRNA from 1 species
CGGAGCGUGUGCUUUAAUUCGAUGCUACACGAAGAACCUUACCUGGNUCUGACAUGCUGGUGGUACCGAACCGAAAGGGGAGGGACCCUUCGGGGAGCCAACACAGGUGCUGCAUGGCUGUCGUUCAGCAUCGUGCCGUGAGGUGUCGGGUUAAGUCCCGUAACGAGCGCAACCCUUGCUCUUAGUUAUACGUGUCUAAGGGGACUGCCGGUGACAAUCCGGAGGAAGGUGGGGAUGACAGUCAAGUCAGCAUGGCUUUGAUAUCCAGGGCUACACACACGCCUACGAUGGCCGGUACAAAGGGCACACAAUCCACGAGGUGGAGCGAAUCCCAGCAAAGCCGGUCUCAGUUCGGAUUACAGGCUGCAACCCGCCUGCAUGAAGUUGGAGUUGCUAGUAUCCGCGCGUCAGCCAUAAUACGGUGAAUACGUACCCGGGUCUGGUACACACCGCCCGUCACGUCAUGGGAGUUGGCACGCCUGACACGCGUAGCCUACCGAAAGGAAGCGCCGACUUAGCAGGCCUGCGACUGGGACGAAGUC